AUUGAACGCUGGCGGCAGGCCUAACACAUGCAAGUCGAGCGGAUGAAGGGAGCUUGCUCCUGGAUUCAGCGGCGGACGGGUGAGUAAUGCCUAGGAAUCUGCCUGGUAGUGGGGGAUAACGUCCGGAAACGGGCGCUAAUACCGCAUACGUCCUGAGGGAGAAAGUGGGGGAUCUUCGGACCUCACGCUAUCAGAUGAGCCUAGGUCGGAUUAGCUAGUUGGUGGGGUAAAGGCCUACCAAGGCGACGAUCCGUAACUGCUCUGAGAGGAUGAUCAGUCACACUGGAACUGAGACACGGUCCAGACUCCUACGGGAGGCAGCAGUGGGGAAUAUUGGACAAUGGGCGAAAGCCUGAUCCAGCCAUGCCGCGUGUGUGAAGAAGGUCUUCGGAUUGUAAAGCACUUUAAGUUGGGAGGAAGGGCAGUAAGUUAAUACCUUGCUGUUUUGACGUUACCAAAAGAAUAAGCACCGGCUAACUUCGUG
rnacentral:rRNA from 1 species